CCCAUAGACUAUGUUCUACCCAGGAUCUCCUUCAUAGUGCCACAAAGUUCUUUGUCCAGUGCUUCAUCUGUCUGGCAAUGUUGACAAUCUCCCCAAAAGUGUUAUUUCCACUGUGUUUGAUGCUUUUCUUCUUCCUUCUGUCUAUUGGAAGCUUCUGGAGGACUUCAAUUGGGUAGAUAUUUUUGUCAAAAUGAAGUAAGAAGAAAUCAAUAUACAAGUGGGUUUUUUUAAACUGUUCGUGGUGGUAUAACUCUGAAGAUGUAAGAACCAGACACUAGGAAGGGUUUGGAGAGCUGGGAGAAGCCAGUGGGGCAAGCCCUCACAGUUCUGUAAGCACAGCUUAAUGGGAAAUUCUGGGGAGAGCUCGGAAGAUCAGAAAAUGAAGAAUCUACAGGUCACAGAGCCAUGGGCAUUUCUCAGAAGGAACUUUACUAGCUGUGAUGAUCAUUUUCAGUUAAAUACUUGGCUAUAUCUGGAACUAAAACCCAAUGGAGGGAGCACCUGUGAGGGAUUUUUUUUCUUCAUUUGAACACAUACUGAAGACCAUCCGAGACAUCCGGCCUCCUGGACCUGAGCAACUACUGAAUCUUGGGACUUCCUGUUCACAGUCAGCCAUUGUUUGACUAGCUGAACCACAGUCUGUAAGCCAUUCUAAUAAAUCUCCUUUCUAUGUAUGGGGAGAAAUUCAUUCUCUAAAGUCAGUUACUCUAGAGUACUCCCACUAAUAAACUAGCAUUCUCACAGAUUCC
rnacentral:sRNA from 1 species